AUGUCUGCCACAGACAUGACCCCCAGCCUGGCCAUCGUCUUCCUCCUGCUGCUCCCCGCGGGUGUCUAUUCCCAGGUCAGCCUGGUGGAGUCCGGAGGGGGAGUCAAGAAACCCGGGGAGACCCUCACACUGACCUGCACCGUGUCCGGAUUCUCCCUCGCUAUCUACGGGGCGCACUGGGCCCGCCAGCCAGCGGGGAAAGGGUUGGACUGGCUGGGAGAACGAUAUCUCUGUGCCAAGGCCGCCCAGAGGAUUCAGGGGGCCUGGGGUCUUAGGCGGCGGGAAGCCCCCUUUGGCGGUGUCCGGUCCCAGGUGCAGCUGGUGGAGUCCGGAGGGGAUGUGAAAAAGCCCGGAGACUCUCUCCGCCUCUCCUGCAAAGCCUCCGGCUUCACCUUCAGCAGCUCCGAGAUGAACUGGGUCCGCCAGGCUCCCGGGAAGGGGCUGGAGUGGGUCUCGGUUAUCAGCAGCAGCGGGGUUACUAUCUACUACUCCGACGCAGUGAAGGGCCGAUUCACCAUCUCCAGGGACAACUCCAACAACCUGCUGUAUCUGCAAGUGACCGGCCUGAAGCCCGAGGACACCGCCCGCUAUUACUGUGCUACACCCCGGUGGGAGUCCUAUAUACUACCUUGA